CUGCCCUGCCUUCCAAGCCCUUCCCAUCACUGGGGCAAUGAACCUGGCCUCACCACACUGUGUCCUGCUGAGAUGUGUUGUCUGCUCAUUGCUCCUUUCAGAAAAGCCUGCGAGAGAGAGGAAAUGAAACAGAGAUGGAAGGAAAUGCAACCCUGGGACUUCCUGGAGCGCUCCUGAGACUGGAAGGGCCACCCGACCUGCACACCCACGUGGCAUUGGCCGGUCCAUGUUUAUCCAGCAACUCCCGGUUCCCAUCCGUAGAGGUUGACAGCCUGUCACACAGCACUAUUGGAUAGGAACUGAGGUGAGGAGAAGACCUGGACUCUAAGCAGCUACCCUGUGGCGUCCAAGCACCUUGGCUUCGUCUCCCACGAGAUCAGGAGUCCACUGUGGCAGAGCCUAGCGCGGGAGCCUGGAAUGUGGAAGGUGCUGGUGUUGUUCCCUAUUGCUGCUGCAAACGUGCGCCACAGAUGCAAUGGCUUAUAACAGCACAGAUUGGCUGUCUUACAGUUCUGGAGGUCAGAUGUCUGACAUACACCUCACUGGCUUAAACCCAAGGUGUGGGCAGGGCUACUUUCUUCCUGGAGGCCCUGGGGUAGACAAGUAGGCCCUGUUUCCUGCUUUGUCCAGCUUUCAUGGGUUGCCCACAUUCCUUGGCUCAUGGCACCUCCACCUUCAGAGCCAGCAAUGGCCAUUCAAGUCUCUCUCCCAUUAUAUCACCUGGACCCUGACUCUUCUGCCCCCCUUUUCCACAUUUAAGGACCCUUUUGAUUACACUGAGCCCACCCAGAUAAUCUAGAAUAAUCUUCCUAUUUUAAAGUUGGCCGACUACCAACCUUAACUCCGUCUACAACAACCUUCAUUUCCCUUUGCCACGUAGCCUAACCUGUUCCCAGGUUCUGGGGAUUGGGAUGAGGACCACUUGGGGGCCAUUAUUUUGCAUGCCACAAUGCUCAGCGUAUAAGUGUUUAGUGAGUUUUGAGUCAAUAAUUCUGGAUCAUUUAAGACUUCAACAACUUUUUUAAAAUCACACGGCCUCCGGGUAACUAUUUUCAUCCCCAAAGCAUUUCAUGUUUUAAAAAGAAAAGAAGCCAUCCAAAAUGUAUAUUGUCCAUUUCUACACCACUGCCAAAGGUAAAGACUGUCAACUUUUGGAUAUGCUCAAAAUAUAAUUGGCGGCCUGGCACCGGUGGCUCACACCUGUAAUCCCAGCACUCUGGGAGGCCAAGGCAGGCAGAUCACUUGAGGUCAGGAAUUCAAUACCAGUAUGGUGAAACCCGUCUCUACAAAAAAUACAAAAAUUAACCAGGCGUAGUGGUGCACGCCUGUAAUCCCAGCUACUCAGGAGGCUGAGGCACAAGAAUCAUUUGAACCCAGGAGGCAGAGGUUGCAGUGAGCCAUGAUCACGCCACUGCACUCCAACCUGGCAACAGAGCGAG
rnacentral:lncRNA from 1 species